GAUGAACGCUGGCGGUGUGGAUAAGGCAUGCAAGUCGAAUGGGUUUAGACCCAUGGCAAACUGGCUAGUAACACGUAGGAAUCUACCCUAGAGUCGUGAAUACACUGGAGAAAUUCAGCAUAAUACACGAUGUCCUCUACGGAGGAAAGAUUUAUCGCUCUAGGAGGAGCCUGCGUCCUAUCAGCUUGUUGGUGAGGUAACGGCUUACCAAGGCUAUGACGGGUAGGGGGUGUGAGAGCAUGGCCCCCAGCAUUGGAACUGAGACACUGUCCAAACACCUACGGGUGGCUGCAGUCGAGAAUAUUCCACAAUGGACGAAAGUCUGAUGGAGCGACACCGCGUGCAUGAUGAAGGCCUUAGGGUCGUAAAGUGCUAAAACUGGGAUCAAUGUACUGAGCGUACCAGUUGAAAAGAGGCUACUAACUCUG
rnacentral:rRNA from 1 species